CUAAUAGCACCCACUAUGUAAGGGAGGCGGUGGAACCGAAUCCUAGUCAUGCAACUUGUGUGCUCUACAACGAUGGCAAAUUAACCUGAGCCUGUUUCCUCAUGAGAAAUGAUUACUUUGGAAGUUUCUUCUAAGAAUGUGACUAGAACCUUUAGGAAAAACACAUAGCACAAGCUUGCCACAAAAGAGAGGCUCAACAAAUAGAAAAACUUGAUUUCCAGCGCUCUUGUUGGUAAUAAAUGGAAGUCACUGUGAACACUGGAUACUACCAAGAUGAGGAAAAAAAAUCAAGUUUCUUGCCUAGGACUUUCUGUGCAGCUCCUAUGUCUUAGAUGUGUUUGGCUGCCUUUUGUGAAACGCUUUUCCUUAUUUACCUGUGUGAACAGAAUUCAAAAUUCUUGCAUCAUUUCACUAAAGCUCAGUGAGGAGUGUCAACUCAACAAGCCAAAAAGCCUAAUCCUACGUUGGCAGCCAGAUUACAGACAUCCGAAAUUGAACCACCAGAAAUACCAUACCCAGAAAAUCAUGAUCUGUGAGCUGAAUCCUGUGAGGGUUCCGGGCCUCCUCAAGGCAGAAAGGGUUCAAUUUGAUAAGGUGGUUAUUAGCCCUGUCCCAUGAGAGGGAGAGGGAGAUCCACAUCGUUCCUGGAAGCCUCGUGCCUUGCAUACACCAUCGACAACCCAUUCAUUUGCACUAGAAGCAGCAUGCAAAUAAACCAUUUUGGCUCUAUA
rnacentral:lncRNA from 1 species